UUGAGACAGGGUCUUCCUAUGUCACUAAACUGUCCAGAUUGGGCUCGAACUCAGGACCCUCCUGACUUGGCCUCCCAGAGCACGGGGUUACUGUUUUCCAGUCCGUUGAAUGAGCACAAGAAGAGUCUAGUCUGUACCAUGUGGGAUUGUGAAUUGGAAUGAAGUGAUCUGUGAAGAGUGUUUAAUGCAGUGACUGGGCACACAAUGAGACUGAAGCUAAGGGGUCAAGUGACUUGCCUAGGGUGUGAGUUCCAGGACUG